rnacentral:tRNA from 1 species
GGCGGGUGGGCAGGCAGGCUAUGCACUGGAUUGCAAAUCCAUGAAGAUCGGUUCGAUUCCGAUACCCGCCUCCA